rnacentral:rRNA from 1 species
GAUGAACGCUGGCGGCGUGCCUAAUACAUGCAAGUCGAGCGAACAGACGAGGAGCUUGCUCCUCUGACGUUAGCGGCGGACGGGUGAGUAACACGUGGAUAACCUACCUAUAAGACUGGGAUAACUUCGGGAAACCGGAGCUAAUACCGGAUAAUAUAUUGAACCGCAUGGUUCAAUAGUGAAAGACGGUUUUGCUGUCACUUAUAGAUGGAUCCGCGCCGCAUUAGCUAGUUGGUAAGGUAACGGCUUACCAAGGCAACGAUGCGUAGCCGACCUGAGAGGGGAGUCGGCCACCUGGAAACGGGACAAGGGUCCCAACCCCACGGGGGGGCAGCGGUGGGAAAUUUUCCGAAAGGGGCGAAAGCUGGACGGGGAAAGCCGGCUGGGGUGAUAAGGGUUUUCGAUUCGUAAACCCCUUUUAUUGGGAAAAAAAAAAUGUGUAAUAAACUAUGCCCGUUUGGACGGUACCAAAACAAAAGGCCCGGGCAAACAACGU